rnacentral:rRNA from 1 species
GCUUAUGCGUUCGUUGGGUAGGGGAGCGUUCUGUAAGCCUGUGAAGGUGGCCUGUGAGGGUUGCUGGAGGUAUCAGAAGUGCGAAUGCUGACAUAAGUAACGAUAAAGCGGGUGAAAAGCCCGCUCGCCGGAAGACCAAGGGUUCCUGUCCAACGUUAAUCGGGGCAGGGUGAGUCGACCCCUAAGGCGAGGCCGAAAGGCGUAGUCGAUGGGAAACGGGUUAAUAUUCCCGUACUUGGUGUUACUGCGAAGGGGGGACGGAGAAGGCUAUGUUGGCCGGGCGACGGUUGUCCCGGUUUAAGCGUGUAGGUGUGUGUUCCAGGUAAAUCCGGUUCACUUUAACACUGAGGCGUGAUGACGAGGCACUACGGUGCUGAAGCAACAAAUGCCCUGCUUCCAGGAAAAGCCUCUAAGCAUCAGGUAACAUCAAAUCGUACCCCAAACCGACACAGGUGGUCAGGUAGAGAAUACCAAGGCGCUUGAGAGAACUCGGGUGAAGGAACUAGGCAAAAUGGUGCCGUAACUUCGGGAGAAGGCACGCUGACAUGUAGGUGAAGUGAUUUACUCAUGGAGCUGAAGUCAGUCGAAGAUACCAGCUGGCUGCAACUGUUUAUUAAAAACACAGCACUGUGCAAACACGAAAGUGGACGUAUACGGUGUGACGCCUGCCCGGUGCCGGAAGGUUAAUUGAUGGGGUCAGCGCAAGCGAAGCUCCUGAUCGAAGCCCCGGUAAACGGCGGCCGUAACUAUAACGGUCCUAAGGUAGCGAAAUUCCUUGUCGGGUAAGUUCCGACCUGCACGAAUGGCGUAAUGAUGGCCAGGCUGUCUCCACCCGAGACUCAGUGAAAUUGAACUCGCUGUGAAGAUGCAGUGUACCCGCGGCAAGACGGAAAGACCCCGUGAACCUUUACUAUAGCUUGACACUGAACAUUGAGCCUUGAUGUGUAGGAUAGGUGGGAGGCUUUGAAGUGUGG